rnacentral:rRNA from 1 species
GACGAACGCUGGCGGCGUGCCUAAUACAUGCAAGUCGAGCGAGCUGAACCAGCAGAUUCACUUCGGUGAUGACGCUGGGAACGCGAGCGGCGGAUGGGUGAGUAACACGUGGGUAACCUGCCCUAAAGUCUGGGAUACCACUUGGAAACAGGUGCUAAUACCGGAUAACAACAAUAGCUGCAUGGCUAUUGCUUAAAAGGCGGCGAAAGCUGUCGCUAAAGGAUGGACCCGCGGUGCAUUAGCUAGUUGGUAAGGUAACGGCUUACCAAGGCGACGAUGCAUAGCCGAGUUGAGAGACUGAUCGGCCACAUUGGGACUGAGACACGGCCCAAACUCCUACGGGAGGCAGCAGUAGGGAAUCUUCCACAAUGGGCGAAAGCCUGAUGGAGCAACGCCGCGUGAGUGAAGAAGGUUUUCGGAUCGUAAAGCUCUGUUGUUGGUGAAGAAGGAUGGAGGUAGUAACUGGCCCCUAUUUGACGGUAAUCAACCAGAAAGUCACGGCUACUACGUGCCAGCAGCCGCCGUAAUAC